rnacentral:tRNA from 2 species
CCACAGUAGCUCAGUGGUAGAGCUAUCGGCUGUUAACCGAUCGGUCGUAGGUUCGAGUCCUACCUGUGGAGCCA